rnacentral:rRNA from 1 species
UUGCUCCUACGGGGGGCAGCAGUGGGGAAUAUUGCACAAUGGGGGGAACCCUGAUGCAGCGACGCCGCGUGAGUGAAGAAGUAUUUCGGUAUGUAAAGCUCUCUCAGCAGGGAAGAAGAUGACGGUACCUGACUAAGAAGCCCCGGCUAACUACGUGCCAGCAGUCGCGGUAAUACGUAGGGGGCAAGCGUUAUCCGGAUUUACUGGGUGUAAAGGGAGCGUAGACGGCAGGGCAAGUCUGGAGUGAAAGCCCGGGGCCCAACCCCGGGACUGCUUUGGAACCUGCCAUGCUGGAGUGCUGGCGG